rnacentral:rRNA from 1 species
UGGGGAAUAUUGGGCAAUGGAGGAAACUCUGACCCAGCAACGCCGCGUGGAGGAUGAAGGUCUUCGGAUUGUAAACUCUUGUCCUUGGGGACGAAAGAGGUGACGGUACCCAAGGAGGAAGCCCCGGCUAACUACGUGCCAGCAGCCGCGGUAAUACGUAGGGGGCGAGCGUUGUCCGGAAUUACUGGGCGUAAAGGGUGCGUAGGCGGAUUAUUAAGUCAGAUGUGAAAGACCGGGGCUUAACCCCGGGGUUGCAUUUGAAACUGAUGAUCUUGAGUGCAGGAGAGGUAAGUGGAAUUCCUAGUGUAGCGGUGAAAUGCGUAGAUAUUAGGAGGAACACCAGUGGCGAAGGCGACUUACUGGACUGUAACUGACGCUGAGGCACGAAAGCGUGGGGAGCAAACAGG